AAUCCCGUAGCUCCUCAUCCCAAAACCUUCCAAACUUCAAUUCACCAUAUCUUUUUUGUUUCUUAACGAAAUUGAGUGAUUCUUGCGGCCACGGAACGAGGAAAGGAUCCUCUACUAGAUUAUGGCUUCAAUUUGAGGUGUUUGUGAGCUCGAAUCAUGGAUUUUGAUGGUGAAUUGGAGCAUGAGAUCAUUCGGUUUUGAGGAAUCAUCAAGGUCCGAUAAGGCGACCUACUAGCAGACAGGAGCUCAGGGAGCUUACGCUAUAAUAAGCAAAGAUUUUGGAUAAGCAAGUAGUGAGUAUAUUUUACUAACUCGCAUUAUCGUAAUUAAAUAUAUGUUAAUAUACUAUAUGAAUAGUACUUAAACGCAUCGCAAAUGUGUAUUGUUUGGAUUGUUUCGGAUUGGAUCGGUUUUUUUGUAUAUGAAUUGA